AAGCAUAUGCAUUUGGUUGAUGCUAAAAGAAGCCAUUGAUAUCCUCUCCCAAUGGCUAGAACCAUGAGAAGAGUCCAAAUCUUGCUGCUCUUGCAACUAUGCAAAUGGGUUAUAACUCUUGCAGCUCGCCCACUUGCCGAUGUUCCUAUCGCGGUGACAAGAGAGGUUUACGGGAAUGGCAGAAUCUUUGAUAUCACCCACAGGAUCAAUCCUGAGAUGCCAAGUUGGGACUCCAAGAAUGGUGUAGGCCAAGUGGUGAAGUUGGUUGCUAGCAUGAAGAAUGGUUCCAAUGACAAUCUUUCUGAGAUGAAGUUUUCUUCUCACACAGGCACACAUGUUGAUGCUCCAUCUCAUUUUUUUGAAGAAUAUUAUGAAGCUGGGUAUGAUACUAGCACACUUGAUAUGAAGACUCUCAAUGGUCCAGCAUUGUUAGUUGAUGUUCCAAGGAACAGUAACAUAACUGCUGAAGUAAUCAAGUCCAACAAGUUUGAUGUC
rnacentral:misc_RNA from 1 species